rnacentral:rRNA from 1 species
GCGGCCUAUCAGCUUGUUGGUGGGGUAACGGCCUACCAAGGCUAUGACGGGUAGCGGGUCUGAGAGGAUGAUCCGUCACACUGGGACUGAGACACUGCCCAGACUCCUACGGGAGGCUGCAGUCGAGAAUCUUCCACAAUGGGCGAAAGCCUGAUGGAGCGACACCGCGUGCAGGAUGAAGGCCUUAGGGUUGUAAACUGCUGUCACGCUAUAGGAACCCACGAUGGUGAAUAGUCAUCGUGCUGACUAAAGCGAGAGGAAGCGCCGGCUAACUCCGUGCCAGCAGCCGCGGUAAUACGGAGGGCGCAAGCGUUGUUCGGAUUCACUGGGCAUAAAGAGCACGUAGGCGGCUCGCUCAGUCGGGUGUGAAAGCCCACGGCUCAACCGUGGAAUUGCACCCGAUACUGGCGAGCUCGAGGACGGAAGGGGUGAGUGGAACUCCAGGUGGAACGGUGAAAUGUAUAGAUAUCUGGAGGAACACCGGUGGCGAAAGCGGCUCACUGGUCCGUCUCUGACGCUGAGGUGCGAAAGCUAGGGGAGCGAACGGGAUUAGAUACCCCGGUAGUCCUAGCCGUAAACGAUGGACACUAGGCAAUGGGUUUACCUAUGAGGCUCAUUGCCGUAGCUAAUGUGUUAAGUGCCCCGCCUGGGGAGUACGG